CCAGACGAUCGGAUGAUUGCUUUCAUUUAUGAAAGAGGAAAGUCCGGGCUCCAUGGAAACACGGUGCCGGGUAACGCCCGGCGGAGGCAACUCUAGGGAUAGUGCCACAGAAAAUAACCGCCUAUUUAUAGGUAAGGGUGAAAAGGUGUGGUAAGAGCACACCGCGUAUGCGGUAACGGAUAUGGCAAAGGUAAACCCCACCGGGAGCAAGUCUAAAUAGGAGUAUUGAGCCAUUUGGCAAAGCAAGUUUUCAUGCUUAUACUCGGGUAAGGCGCGUGAAACAUCCGGUAACGAAUGUUCAAGAUGAAUAAUCAUCUUCCGAAUUUAUUUGGAAACAGAACCCGGCUUACAGAUCGUCUGGCUUU
rnacentral:RNase_P_RNA from 1 species